ACCCUCUCAGGGUCGCACCUGGAGAGUUUCCCGUACCCUACCAGUCUCGGCUAUGGGAGGGAGAGUCAGGCAGAAGCAUACUCAUUCCAUUCCUAGCUUGAGCAGUGGCUAAUGAAUGGAAGGCAAUCUGCUACAAGU